rnacentral:rRNA from 1 species
AUUGAACGCUGGCGGCAUGCUUUACACAUGCAAGUCGAACGGUAACAGGCCGCAAGGUGCUGACGAGUGGCGAACGGGUGAGUAAUGCAUCGGAACGUGCCCAGUCGUGGGGGAUAACGCAGCGAAAGCUGCGCUAAUACCGCAUACGAUCUAUGGAUGAAAGCGGGGGACCGAAAGGCCUCGCGCGAUUGGAGCGGCCGAUGUCAGAUUAGGUAGUUGGUGAGGGAAAGGCUCACCAAGCCAACGAUCUGUAGCGGGUCUGAGAGGACGACCAGCCACACUGGGACUGAGACACGGCCCAGACUCCUACGGGAGGCAGCAGUGGGGAAUUGUUCGCAAUGGGCGCAAGCCUGACGACGCAACGCCGCGUGGAGGAUGAAGAAUUUCGGUUCGUAAACUCCUUUCGACCGAGAUGAACACCUCGCGAUCUAAUACAUCGCGGGGCUGACAGUAUCGAGAGAAGAAGCCCCGGCUAACUCUGUGCCAGCAGCCGCCGCAGUAA